CCAAAAAAAAAAAAUACCUUAGGUGCAUUUAAAACACCUAAGCUAAAGAAUUAGUUGUUUACCUUGUGACUACAUAAUUGACUGGAACUGUGGUUCACUGCCACUACACAGCAUCACAAAAGAGUAUUCCACCUAUUGCUGCCCCAGGCUUUUGCACCAUGGUAGAAGGAAAAGAAACAACAUUAACCGAGCAUCUACAAUGUGCCUUUUCUUGAACCUCAAUAUAUAGUUUCAACUAAUCCCUUACAGCCAAAUCUUCAGGAAGCUGUGCCGCUCCUCCCCAUACAUCACUUAGAAUCAGUAAAAAAAAAAAGAAGAAGAAGAAGAGGAGGAGGAGGAGGAGGAGGAGGAAGAAGAAGGUGGUAUAAACAACUGCUUCCAGGCCUUAAUUAAGCAUACCACUAGCUCUGCUACAAACUGAGGACAAAUGCUCAAAUACGGGCAACCGACACAAGGUGUCCCGAGGUGCUGCAUAUGGCAAAACCUGGAAGGACAUCACUUUACCCAAGUAACUGUCCCACCACAGUGAACUAAAUGCAAGGAAUUGUGUCGCUCGCCGUGCCGAAGAAAAGAAAAAUCAAAACCUGACGCGCCUCCUCCUCGCCCCCUCGCGCUCCCAGGCUCGGAGCAAGACUACGGGCUUAAGAAGAGGUUCCCAAGCAGUAACAGGCCCCCGUCGCCUCUGCACCCACAGACAUCUAGGCGACACAGCAACGCCCUAAACAUCCCCACCUCUGUCCUCCAGGCACCAGCAGGGAAAGCAUCCCAGAGCCCGCCCCUGCCAGGCCCGCCCCGCUAUCUCCUCCCCCGUUAUCCUCUCGCAGACGCGCUGGGGCCUGGAUUCGCUUCCCCAGCCUCCCCAAGUUCAGCGCGUCCCACUCCACACGUCGGCUACCACCCUCGGCGAGUCUGGAGGAGAAAGGUCGGGGGCCGCCAGGCGAAGAAUGAGAUCAGCGC